GACGGAACCGUGCGAACGUUGUUCGGAAUCACUGGGCUUAAAGGGCGCGUAGGCGGGUGGCCAAGUCAGAGGUGGAAAUCCCACAGCUCAACUGUGGAAGGGCCCCUGAUACUGGCCGUCUCGAGGGAGGUAGGGGCGUGUGGAACUUCCGGUGGAGCGGUGAAAUGCGUUGAUAUCGGAAGGAACGCCGGUGGCGAAGGCAGAUCUCUGGGCCGUAACUGACGCUGAGGAGCGAAAGCAUGGGGAGCGAACAGG
rnacentral:rRNA from 1 species